rnacentral:rRNA from 1 species
AGUGAACGCUGGCGGUAGGCCUAACACAUGCAAGUCGAACGGCAGCACAGUAAGAGCUUGCUCUUACGGGUGGCGAGUGGCGGACGGGUGAGGAAUACAUCGGAAUCUACUUUUUCGUGGGGGAUAACGUAGGGAAACUUACGCUAAUACCGCAUACGACCUACGGGUGAAAGCAGGGGAUCUUCGGACCUUGCGCGACUGAAUGAGCCGAUGUCGGAUUAGCUAGUUGGCGGGGUAAAGGCCCACCAAGGCGACGAUCCGUAGCUGGUCUGAGAGGAUGAUCAGCCACACUGGAACUGAGACACGGUCCAGACUCCUACGGGAGGCAGCAGUGGGGAAUAUUGGACAAUGGGCGCAAGCCUGACCCAGCAAUACCGCGUGGGUGAAGAAGGCCUUCGGGUUGUAAAGCCCUUUUGUUGGGAAAGAAAAGCAGCAGGUUAAUACCCCGCUGUUCUGACGGUACCCAAAGAAUAAGCACCGGCUAACUUCGUG